AUGAUCGCGUUGCUCGAGCUGCCGUUGGAAGCUUAGAAGCAGGUGCUACCGUGCUAGAUACAAAGCGAUCUAUUUAAAAGCCCUCUGUCACGCACGCACACUUACUGACGAAUCCUCUGGCUCUCUCCUACCACCGCCCGGUGGCGGAUUCCGGAAUUGGUUCAAAAGGCCUUGAUCCCGAACACCCAGGACAGAGACAGAGUACUUUUCCUACCUCUUUCGCCUGCAUCCUUAGAAAACUCCCGUGGAUGAGAAGAUCCCCAGGCCUUUACAAGCUGUUGUUUUACAAAAGGAGAAACUGAGGCAGGAAGAGGCGGUGGAUGUGCACCAGAGCACGUGGUGCGUCGGUGCAAUAGCUGAGGGCACAUGGAACAUUCACCAAGAUAAACCAUAUGCUGGAACAUAAAAUUUAUGGAUGUCACCCAUGAAGCAGAGUCCUUCAGACCCUCAAUCAAAAACAAGUCUCAUUUUACAUUAAAUUGGAGGACUAUCUGGAGUCUCUGACCACCGUGUGACAGAAAAGAGAGCAGAAUUGUUGCAUGAUGGGUAACACUCAUCAGUAAUCGCUGUUUGCCAAGCCAUCUGGGAGGAGACCAAAGAGCUAUAAAAUAAGUUCAGGCACGGUGGCUCAUGCCUGUAAUCCCAGCACUUUGGGAGGCCGAGGUGGGUGAAUCACCUGAGGUCAGGAGUUCGAGAC